UACGGGGGGAGCAAGCGUUGUUCGGAUUACUGGGCGUAAAGGGCGCGUAGGCGGCCACCGCAAGUCAGUUGUGAAAUCUCUGAGCUUAACUCAGAACGGCCAAGUGAUACUGCAGUGCUAGAGUGUGGAAGGGGCAAUCGGAAUUCUUGGUGUAGCGGUGAAAUGCGUAGAUAUCAAGAGGAACACCUGAGGUGAAGACGGGUUGCUGGGCCAACACUGACGCUGAGGCGCGAAAGCCAGGGGAGCAAACGGG
rnacentral:rRNA from 1 species